rnacentral:lncRNA from 1 species
CAAGAUUUUAGCAAGAGUCUGACAUGGAAUACUAGAGAGACUUUAAGGAAGCAAUUUUAGGGAGGUGACUGAGAGAAUUAAGGGAAAUAUGGGCAGUUAGUUUAGACCCAAGGAGCCCUGUGUGUGUGGUAGGGGGUGUGAAAUCUGUCAGAUCAAACCAGUCAAAAGCAUAAAGUCAAGAGUUGUAAUUAGAAUCUGUACCUACUUUUAGAGUCUAGACCUCACCCUUGUGACCUCCCACUUGGAAUGCAAAUGAAAAGGCAAGCAAAUCUGAGGUAUUUCCUGCUAAGCAGUGAUUGUCUAUGAGCAUGAGGUCUAAGAGGGGUGCAUCUGUCGGGGAGACUCCACUGCCAUUGCAGGCCUGACAGGCCUCACUGAAUAAAGCACUCAGAGGAGCCGAUAUCAAGACCUGCAUCCUGCCAGCCUAACUGUUAGGGUGGCUUCCACAAACAGAAAGGCCCAUCAACGGAGAACAGCAACCGUACUGGCUAAAGCUGCUUCAAUCACGCUUCAGAAUCAUUCACAGAUUUGUUUUCUAGACUCACCUACGGGUUCAUCCACUAGCUUCCAGUCUGUGUGCUGGCAUGUGUUUCUAUAUGGCUCCUGUGCAAAGACACUAGGACUUGCUGUGGCUGAGUUUUGGAUGCGAUCUCCAUUUGACAAGGAAUAAAGACGAGGCAUAAAUAAGUAACAUUUAUCUUGUCUUACAUAUGGGUCUCCUAGCCCUCCCUCCCUUCCUCUUUCUCUCUCCAUCCUCCCCACUUCAAUCUCUCUUCCUCCUUUCCUUCCUGAUGCUCAGCAGCAAGAUGUUCCAGUCUGGGAUGAUCUGAAGAAAGGGCAAAAGAGAACAGUGUAUUCUGGGAAUGCAGGCGCCGCCGCUGCUUUGGACUUGCUUCCAGCGGAAAUCCCCAUGCAGAUCGUAUCUUCCACGUGUCUGCUCAAACACUAAGAUAAAUGUCAUGAGACAGGAGCAAAGGAGAGGCUUCUAAAACACCAAGAUGCUUGAAAGCAGAGAAUCCUGUAGGGCCUAGCAAAGACUUUUAUCUCUCCGCUUCAUUUCUCUAGGGAGUCUUAACUGCUCCAGAUUCAAUAUCACCCUUGAGUGACUGGGAAGCAGCAAGUGGUCAAAUUAUUUUCACUGUCUGUAUGGAGUCCCUGGUGUACCAGGAGGCCGAUGCCUCCAGAGAAGACCCACAAAUGACUGUCACGCACUGUGGGGGCCACAAGGAAGCAGUGUGCACACUGGCCUGGGAAAACAACACGCCAGAGUAACAGGGGUAUUUUGCAAGCUU